rnacentral:rRNA from 1 species
GAUGAACGCUGGCGGCGUGCCUAAUACAUGCAAGUAGAGCGCUGAAGGAGGAGCUUUCUCUUCACUGGGUGUUCCGCGCACGGGUGUGUAACGUAUGGGGACUCUCUGGUAGAGGGGGGGACAACUUUUGAACACUAGCUCUUACACCGCAUCAAAAGUUAAAACACAAUAAUUAAGUAUGAAAGACACAUUCGCAUCACCCAGAUAUACUUGCGUUGUAUUAGCUAGUUGGUGAGGUAACGGCUCACCAAGGCGAUGAUACAUAGCCGACCUGAGAGGGUGAUCGGCCACACUGGGACUGAGACACGGCCCAGACUCCUACGGGAGGCAGCAGUAGGGAAUCUUCGGCAAUGGACGGAAGUCUGACCGAGCAACGCCGCGUGAGUGAAGAAGGGUUUCGGAUCGUAAAGCUCUGUUGGUAGAGAAGAACGAUGGUGAGAGUGGAAAGCUCACCAUGUGACGGUAUCUAACCAGAAAGGGACGGCUAACUACGUG